GACGUAGGGCGCGAGCGUUGUCCGGAUUUAUUGGGCGUAAAGAGCUCGUAGGCGGCUUGUCGCGUCGUCCGUGAAAACCCGCAGCUCAACUGUGGGCUUGCGGUCGAUACGGGCAGGCUAGAGUUCGGUAGGGGAGACUGGAAUUCCUGGUGUAGCGGUGAAAUGCGCAGAUAUCAGGAGGAACACCGGUGGCGAAGGCGGGUCUCUGGGCCGAAACUGACGCUGAGGAGCGAAAGCGUGGGGAGCAAACAGG
rnacentral:rRNA from 1 species